GCAGGGGGAUCUCUGCAUCCCCACGGAGCUGCAGGGGGAUCUCUGCAUCCCCAUGGACCUGCAGGGGGAUCUGUGCAGCCCCAUUGUAAUAUAAAUUAUGGAAUAAUUCGUGCUUAUGUAAAAUAUACAUCAAGUCAGUUGUGCUAGUAGAAAAAGAUUCUUAAAGUUUUAAAAGACCUGAAGACCCAGCCGGGAAAGACUGGAAACCACAGAUGACAGAGAAAGAAAGACCUAAUUUACAAUUGAAAACACGUGGCUCCCUGCAGAGAUGGGCACUUUCCGGGGAUACUCCACCAGACGCCCAAGGUGAAAAAUGCACAUAUGUUAGUUUGAAUAGUAGUGCUGUAUUAACAUUUUAAUAGUACUGUAAAUGUAGUUGUGUAGUUAAAUUGAAGCUUUAGUAGUUAAAAUAGAAACUAUGUAUCUGGGUUUUCUUUUAAGGAAUGACAUACUCGCUUUGACAUAACCAUCACAGAACACCCAAAUCUUCCAAAGAAGAGGAAUUUAUGGUUUUCUUGUCAGAAGAAUCUAAUUUCUUCAGGCCUUGCUCAGACUCGAAGACGCCAUGGGGAUUAAAGGAAAUAGUUGGCAUAUAACAGACAGAGUUUCUUGUUUUAAAUAGAAUGUAUGCAUAACCAUGAAGGAUAUAUGAAUAUGCAAUAGUGUAGUUUUAGGGGUGAUUCCUUUGUUCACAAGGUAUGCUUGUUGUGGCUUAAGUGCCCCAGAGCAUCUGGACAUCCUUAAUUCUUUGCUUUUUAUUGUCUUGUAAUUGUCCUAACUCUAAAUUUUUAUUACUCUAAUUGUAUUACUAUUUUAAUAACCAUGUUAUUAUUAUUAAAAAUUUAACAGCCAAGUGAUUGGCGUUUUUCACAAUUAUGGUAGCAAAGGAUGGUUUUUAACACCUCUCUGCCGGGGCCUUGGAGAGUCAGGGUGAGGAAGACGGGUCCUGCCCUAUUUAGGCAGCCUCGCUCUGUUCCCCUGGUGUGUGACCAGACACAGGUUAUGAUCUAUGGGCAAAAGGAGACAAUAAAACAAAGAAAAGGGAAAGCAUUCCCUAAAACCACAGUAAUUAGCCCCAAGACUAAAGUGUACACGAAGAACCAAGACCCAAGGACAAAGGAUAGUAAAGAGACCAAGCGAGUGAUAAAAAAGAGAGAAUCCCUCCCAGAGAAACUGGGACUGGAUCUUAGGAAGAAGAGGAACCCCGUGGAGUGCCGGAUUGAGGGAUAAGAGUGCCCAAGAGCAUCCAGGAUUCAAACCUGCUGGGUUGAGGGAUUAACAUUCCAACAGCACUCAGGGUGUAGAUAAGUAAUGUAGACUGUUUGAAAGUAAAAAGUAUCUUCUUGUUGUAUGUGAGAGUUAGUGAAAAAUAAAAGUGAGUAAAUGUAGAUGAAUGGUAGUAUAUGUAAUGUAGAUUGUUUUUUAUGAGCUUUUCUUUAUCUCCUUGGAGAGAGUGUUAGAGUGUUUCCUGGCAGUCGAAAAGAGAGUAUUGCAGAGAAAAAUUCCUCACUUGCUGUCCUCCCCCUGCCCUCAACUCUAUUCAUAUUUUGUCCAUUCCCUCUUCAAAAUACAGAUUUGUAAAACUCAUGCUCUGUGUCCUCAGAUGCCCUUCCCAAAUCAAACCUUGGCUUCGUUGCAAAUUGCAUUGCACUAACUAGCAUUGCCUUAAAUUUGUUUUGGUGCAGGCAGGGUCACUUUGGAAGUAAGUUGUUGUUUACUUUGUUCCUGCAACCUUUUCAAGCUUGUGAAUGGAAAAAUUGUGAUAGCAAAAUAAGUCUUUAUUUUUGCACUGUCAGCUGUGAGUGGCUGGUAGCCUUGGUGGAGGGUGCCGUGAAUUACAGGCCUGCAGAACACGCAUAACAAAAGUAAUUUACUUUGUAAGGAAGUUGAAAAAGGGGGGAGAGGUGAUUGGCAGACUCACCUCUCCAGGAUGUAGAAUUAAUGUUAGAAAGUGGACUGAUAUUGGAAUGUGGCUGCUGAAAUGUGAAGAGAGAAAAAGAAAGAGAAAGAGAGAGAAAGGGAGAGAGAGAGAGAAAGAGAGCGAAGGGGAGAGCGAAAUACACCCCCAAGGUCCCCUCAGCCACAGCUAUCUGUAAGUUCUCCCCCAUUCCUGCUAGGCAGAGUGACAACAAGGAGGGGGGGAAGUGGGGAAGGACAGAGUUAAACCCAAGGCUGUGAACAGGACCACCAGUAGAGAUAAGAUCAAGGCAGAGAUUGUGACUCUCACAAAGUGGUUUAUUGUCUUAAGCAAGAUUUCUUUUUUCUUUCUGAUUGCUGUUGUUAAGAAGAGAAGGCUUUUGUUCUGAAGACUUAAAGUCUGUAAGACUAAAACAGUUAAAUGUUACCCAAAAAGUAAAAGGCAAGAGAUGUGAUACAUCUCAUGUUAAAAUUGGCCUGGUCUUUUUUAUUUAACUAAUUAUAGCUCACAGGAAGAAGAAUUGGUCUCUGCAGCUAUUAACACAGCUGGAUACAAGAAGAAGAAGUGGCUGUAGAAAAAGAGUUUAGUUAAACUCAGAAAAUUUUAAAGAAAACUAAUGGUAAAAGUUAAUGCAGUAUUGUUUUUCUUUUAACACUGUGCUAUUAAGAAAUCCUUUCCAGGUACCAUUAAAGCAGCAAUCCAAACCAUGGAAAGAGGGUGAAUUCAUGCCAGCAAAACCAAAGGACUUGUGAAGAAACUUGAGGAAUGGACUAUCACAUCUAAACCGGGUGAUACCAAAUUGACUUCCAACCAGGACUGGGUGGUAAUGGUUUGGGAAGACCCAAAUGAUCCAAGGCAGGUACAAAGAAUAACACCUCACUGAGAAAUAAGGCAAAGCUUGCAUCACUGGUUCUAAGCCCGGCCUGAAUAAACCCUGAGACGCCUCCGACACCUCCUUGGCAGAGGAACACUGCCACUUCAAACAGGAGGAUCGGGAGUGUUUCAGUCAAAGAGUUCUUAUAGCCUGGCCUCAGCCUGUGGCUUGUACAGGGAAGAAGGGAAAUUGCCAUCAGUACUGUACUGUAUACUUUAUGUGAUUCAUCCCAAUACUGGACACGCUAGCUGGGUUACAAGUGAAUGUUCAAAUUAUGGGAAUAAUUGGUGUUGUAGCUCACAAAAUCUAUGUUCUUGUUGCAAGAGGUAUCGAGUACUGAAUCAAUUCCCUAUACAGAUAGAACCCAAAACAACUGAAGUAAUAACUUUGUUUUGUGGAUGGAUUAUUAGUGCCUGUUGAGUGAGAGAUACCUGAGGAACAGUGGGAAACCACAGUUAAGGAGUGUCGAAAAGGACUUGCCUAAAAAAAUGAGUAAAAAGGAGUGACAAGGGAAACAGAGGGCAAGCCUGGACUGAGCACUGUACUCACCACCGAGAAGAUCACACGUACCUGCUGUGGGAAGCAACCCCACAGGCAGGGGAGGUGGGGGUAUAAGCCAUGCCAGACCUCUGUCAUUCCUGUUUCUGUCUCUCAUUUGUUGUCUUUUCCCUUCUGAGAUACCAGCAAGAUCGUGUCCCAAAUGCUACAGAAAGUAUUACACGGAAAGGAACCAAAGUUCCUUUUUGUUACACACACCCAUGUCAACAGCCACAGACCCACCCAAACUGAGUACCUGCAGGCAAAAUGGGGAAAAAUAUUGGAUUACAAGGAACUUAGGAAAAAGUAGUAAUACUUGGGGCAUGGAAUGUCCAAAAGGAGAGAGAUGGAUUUGUUUUACAUUUGAUCUUAGAGAUAUAGUCCAAGAUUCGGUAAAAAGGCAAUUAGUAAACAAAAAGGUGAAACCAGCACAGCAAUCUAGCUCUGUAUUAACCCCAAAUUAUAUACUGCAUCGUAUUAUAGGACUCCAAGCAGUUAUAGAGGAGAUAACAAACAAAGCUGCUCAGGCACUGGAAUUAAUAUUGAGUCAGCAAAGCCAAACUAUAACUGCAGUGUAUUAAAAUAGGUUGGCUUUACGCUAUUUAUUGGCUAAAGAAUGGGGUGUACAGAUUGUUGAAAAUAGAUGGCAAUGAGGGCGUCAUCCUGGAAUAAACAAAGGAUAUCAGAAAAAAAUUAUGACCCUGGUAUCAGUC